rnacentral:rRNA from 1 species
UGGGGAAUAUUGGACAAUGGGCGAAAGCCUGAUCCAGCCAUGCCGCGUGUGUGAUGAAGGUCUUCGGAUUGUAAAGCACUUUCAGUUGGGAGGAAGGGCAGUAAGCGAAUACCUUGCUGUUUUGACGUUACCGACAGAAUAAGCACCGGCUAACUCUGUGCCAGCAGCCGCGGUAAUACAGAGGGUGCAAGCGUUAAUCGGAAUUACUGGGCGUAAAGCGCGCGUAGGUGGUUCGGUAAGCUGAAUGUGAAAGCCCCGGGCUCAACCUGGGAACUGCAUUCGAAACUAGCGGGCUAGAGUAGGGCAGAGGGUGGGGGAAUUUCGUGUGUAGCGGUGAAAUGCGUAGAUAUUGGGAGGAACACCAGUGGCGAAGGCGACCACCUGGGCUCAUACUGACACUGAGGUGCGAAAGCGUGGGGAGCAAACAGG